rnacentral:rRNA from 1 species
AGUGAACGCUGGCGGUAGGCCUAACACAUGCAAGUCGAACGGCAGCACAGGAGAGCUUGCUCUCUAGGUGGCGAGUGGCGGACGGGUGAGGAAUACAUCGGAAUCUGCCCAGUCGUGGGGGAUAACGUAGGGAAACUUACGCUAAUACCGCAUACGACCUUCGGGUGAAAGAGGGGGAUCGCAAGACCUCUCGCGAUUGGAUGAGCCGAUGUCGGAUUAGCUAGUUAGCGGGGUAAUGGCCCACCAAGGCGACGAUCCGUAGCUGGUCUGAGAGGAUGAUCAGCCACACUGGAACUGAGACACGGUCCAGACUCCUACGGGAAGCAGCAGUGGGGAAUAUUGGACAAUGGGCGCAAGCCUGAUCCAGCCAUACCGCGUGGGUGAAGAAGGCCUUCGGGUUGUAAAGCCCUUUUGUUGGGAAAGAAAUCUUUCAGGCUAAUACCCUGGGAGGAUGACGGUACCCAAAGAAUAAGCACCGGCUAACUUCGUG